rnacentral:rRNA from 1 species
UUAACGACUCUCGGCAACGGAUAUCUCGGCUCUCGCAUCGAUGAAGAACGUAGCGAACUGCGAUACUUGGUGUGAAUUGCAGAAUCCCGUGAACCAUCGAGUCUUUGAACGCAAGUUGCGCCCGAAACCUUUGGUCGAGGGCACGUUUGCCUGGGUGUCACA